GUCCACGCCGUAAACGAUGUCGACUAGCCGUUGGUCCUAUUUACAGGAUUAGUGGCGCAGCUAACGCAUUAAGUCGACCGCCUGGGGAGUACGGCCGCAAGGUUAAACUCAAAUGAAUUGACGGGGCCCGCACAAGCGGUGGAGCAUGUGGUUUAAUUCGAUGCAACGCGAAGAACCUUACCUACCCUUGACAUCCAGAGAAUCUGUUAGAGAUAGUAGAGUGCCUUCGGGAGCUCUGAGACAGGUGCUGCAUGGCUGUCGU
rnacentral:rRNA from 1 species